AAGACUAUACUUUCAGGGAUCAUUUCUAUAGUUCGUUACUAGAGAAGUUUCUCUGAAUGUGUAGAGCACCCGAAACCACGAGGAGGAGGUGUAGUGUUCUCUUCUGAGCGUGAAGCUGACUGUUGGUGUUGUGCGUGCAACAACCAUCUGUCAUUGAUGAUCGUUCUUCUCUUCUUUUGGAAGAGUGAGAGGAAGGGAACACAGUCUGAGUGGU